GAAGAUUGAUCAAGAAACCCUCCUUCAUUUAGAUGAUGUCACACUGACUUCUCUUAUCCCUAUUAUUGGACUUCGUUUAAAAUUCAAGAAAUACCUCAAGAAUGUGCUUGAUGAAUCAACCAAAGAGCCUGCAACUACAGCUACUGAACCAAGGGAGCAGCGGCAGGGUCCUGAGCACAGGAAAGUGGAGCAAGUAGCAGCAUUUAAAGUAAGAGACAUCCUUGCAUCAGCAUCCUGUGGCAGUGGUAUUGUGGAUAGCAUUGAAAAAAAUAACUGCAUUUCACUUAAAGAAAGACAAGCCAUGGUUUGCAUCUUGGUCUCCCAUCU